rfam:Macrostomum lignano uti_cns_0048790, whole genome shotgun sequence.
GGCAACGGCCAUACCACGUUGAAAACACCGGUUCUCGUCUGAUCACCGAAGUUAAGCAACGUUGGGUUUUGGUUAGUACUUGGAUGGGUGACCGCCUGGGAAUACCAAAUGCUGUUGUCU